GGCUGGGUAGCCCAACGGAAGAGGCACCGGAUUCAAGUCCCGGCCAGUGAGGGUUCGAAUCCCUCCCCAGCUA
rnacentral:tRNA from 1 species